AUAUCUCUCUGUACGGGAAGGAUGAGAAGCUUCGACUAAGGUUCGAUUCGAGCGUCAGCGAGAAAGCGUUGCCGCAGGCAACGACCCGAAGGGCGAAGCGCGCAGCGCUGAGUCAUCCUUCCCCCACCACCA
rfam:Salmonella enterica subsp. enterica serovar Typhimurium str. LT2, complete genome.